rnacentral:rRNA from 1 species
UACGGAAGGGGGCUAGCGUUGCUCGGAAUCACUGGGGCGUAAAGCGCACGGUAGGCGGAUCUUUGAAGUACAGGGGUGAAAUCCUGAAGCUCAACGUCCAGACUGCCUUGAAUUACUGGGAUCUCGAGUCGGGAGAGGUGAGUGGAAUCCGAGUGUAGGAGGUGAAAUUCGUAGAUAUUACGGAAAGAACACCAGUGGCGAAGGCGGACUCCACUGGCCCGGUACGUGACGCUGAGUGCGAAAGCGA